UCUGAGAUUCUAUAGCCCAGUGGUAGGGCAUCUUCUUUGCAUACAGAAGAUCCCAGGUUCAUUCCCUGGCAUUGCAGAC